UGGCCUACGGGCUGGCGCGGGCGGCCAGAUCGCACCAUCUGCCUGAGCGGAAGUGGAGCGCAGGUGUCGGGUUUGGGGCGCAGGAGCGAAAAAAGCAGGCCUUUCUCCUUGCUUUUUGAGGCCAUUGGGCAGUGAACCUACCCGAGCUUGCCCAGAGAUGGGCAGCCUCUUCAUGGAGUGGGACACGUGCAGAUGUCUUAAAAAGGAACACGCAUCUCUGAGUCUGUCAUCAAACUUUUUAUUUCAAGUCUGUACGACACGAGGAUUGUUGGAUUUCUGUCCUUUUGGUAUUUAUGGAGGGCACAAAAAAGAACUACUCUUGAGUAAAUAAACAGAGAAGAUUAAAGGCCUUCCUCUGUGGGGGGCACCAUUCAUGAGGCAGCAAGCCAGGAGAGUUGUGAUGGGAUUUUGUGCUGCUGAUGCAGCACUGAAUUGGAACUACAUUUCAUUUGAGUCGUUUCAGGAAGUUUGGGCUCCUCAGCUUCUGUGUCUUCGCAUCCGGGGGCUCUGAUCUGAGUCCAUGUAUAUGUGCUGGGAGUGUCCCUGCAGGUACACCGACAGGUCCCUGCAGACUCCGUGUGCCCAGCUCCCGUGGCUCCUCCUGGCUUGGUUGCUGCCUCUGGUCCCUGGUGGUUCUGCCUUGCUGGUCCGCAGAGAGAUCAACACCCUUCAAACCAGCUGCCUCGUUGGCUGCCGCUCACUCUAUUGGCCUCGCGAUGCCUGCCGUUGCCAUGGAAACCAAAGUAGGCGGCAAGAGGUGGCAUGGGGUCAGGGAAAGAGGACAGGGUGGGGACCACGCUUUUAUGGAUUCUGCUGCCGCCAGCACUGAUCGUCAGCUUGUGACCUCGAGGAAGCCCCUCAGCCUCUCCCAGCUGCAGUUUUCCUCAUCUGUAACAUGAUGAGCACAUUACACUUGUUCAAAUGAAAAUUAGUUUUGAGCUUUCUUUGUGCUGGGCACUGUGUUAGGAAACAGAGUCAUGUAGAGUUGUCCCUGCAGCACACGGUGAGUGAGGUGAGCACGGAAGGGGCACGGUGAUGGGGGUGGCUCUGGCAGGGUGGAGCUGGGAGAGGGAUGGCAGUGGAGAAGGCGAAUUUUGAAUUGGGUCUUAAAUGUGCGGUCUGAUUGGAAGUGGCUGUGACAGGGAAGGAGGAAGUGAGGAAGAGGAGGCUCAGGGCUGUCAGGAGGGAGAGGUGCUUGAAGAAGAGCUCAGACCUAGCAGCUGGAGUGCGAGGACAAGGGCGGCGAUGGCAUGACAUUUGGGAGAUUCCUCUGAAGUUACAAUGAGAGCCUGCCCUUACUG